UACAGAGGGUGCAAGCGUUGUUCGGAAUCAUUGGGCGUAAAGGGCGUGUAGGCGGUCCGGUAAGUCCGCUGUGAAAGUCGGGGGCUCAACCCUCGAAAGCCGGUGGAUACUGUCGGGCUAGAGUACGGAAGAGGCGAGUGGAAUUCCUGGUGUAGCGGUGAAAUGCGCAGAUAUCAGGAGGAACACCAAUUGCGAAGGCAGCUCGCUGGGACGUUACUGACGCUGGAGACGCGAAAGCGUGGGGAGCAAACAGG
rnacentral:rRNA from 1 species